GGCGGACGGGUGAGUAACGCGUGAGAAUCUGCCUUCAGGACGGGGAUAACAGGAGGAAACUGCUGCUAAAACCGGAUAUGCCGAAAGGUGAAAGUAUUAAUAGCCUGAAGAGGAGCUCGCGUCUGAUUAGCUAGUUGGUAGGGUAAAAGCUUACCAAGGCGACAAUCAGUAGCUGGUCUGAGAGGACGAUCAGCCACACUGGGACUGAGACACGGCCCAGACUCCUACGGGAGGCAGCAGUGGGGAAUUUUCCGCAAUGGGCGAAAGCCUGACGGAGCAAGACCGCGUGGGGGAGGAAGGUUCUUGGAUUGUAAACCCCUUUUCUCAGGGAAGAACAAAAUGACGGUACCUGAGGAAUAAGCAUCGGCUAACUCCGUGCCAGCAGCCGCGGUAAUACGGAGGAUGCAAGCGUUAUCCGGAAUAAUUGGGCGUAAAGCGUCCGUAGGUGGUCAUUCAAGUCUGCCGUUAAAGAGUGGGGCUUAACCCCACAAAGGCGGUGGAAACUGAAAGACUAGAGUGCAGUAGGGGUAGAGGGAAUUCCCGGUGUAGCGGUGAAAUGCGUAGAGAUCGGGAAGAACACCGGUGGCGAAAGCGCUCUGCUGGACUGCAACUGACACUGAGGGACGAAAGCUAGGGGAGCGAAUGGGAUUAGAUACCCCAGUAGUCCUAGCCGUAAACGAUGGAUACUAGGUGUGGCCUGUAUCGACCCGGGCCGCGCCGGAGCUAACGCGUUAAGUAUCCCGCCUGGGGAGUACGCACGCAAGUGUGAAACUCAAAGGAAUUGACGG
rnacentral:rRNA from 1 species